rnacentral:rRNA from 1 species
GACGAACGCUGGCGGCGUGCUUAACACAUGCAAGUCGAACGGAAAGGCCCUGCUUUUGUGGGGUGCUCGAGUGGCGAACGGGUGAGUAACACGUGAGUAACCUGCCCUUGACUUUGGGAUAACUUCAGGAAACUGAGGCUAAUACCGGAUAGGAGCUCCUGCUGCAUGGUGGGGGUUGGAAAGUUUCGGCGGUUGGGGAUGGACUCGCGGCUUAUCAGCUUGUUGGUGGGGUAGUGGCUUACCAAGGCUUUGACGGGUAGCCGGCCUGAGAGGGUGACCGGCCACAUUGGGACUGAGAUACGGCCCAGACUCCUACGGGAGGCAGCAGUGGGGAAUAUUGCACAAUGGGCGGAAGCCUGAUGCAGCAACGCCGCGUGCGGGAUGACGGCCUUCGGGUUGUAAGCCGCUUUCGCCUGUGACAAAGCGUGAGUGACGGUAAUGGGUAAAGAAGCACCGGCUAACUACGUG